rnacentral:tRNA from 1 species
GGAGAGAUGGCAGAAUGGUUAUUGCGCCAAUUUGGAAGGUUGGUUCCCAAAGGGAUUGUUGGUUCGAUUCCAACUCUUUCCG